AAGCGCUUAUGACCAGACUUGGACUCGGUUAAUCAUCCAGGGUUCUCCCUGGUGCACUUUGCCGGUUCAGGCCAGCAUCAGUUUGGAUUGGGGGAUAAAAGUGGAAGGAACGUGGCUCCCCUCGGGGAGUGUUAUAGCCUACCGCAUAAUACCCUGACCUGGACUGAGGUUCGCGCAUCUGCAUGGAUGCUGGCGUAAUGGUCAUCAG
rnacentral:rRNA from 1 species